ensembl:lincRNA Gm28874 predicted gene 28874
CUUUUUUUNNNNNNNNNNNNNNNNNNNNNNNAACUGCCACUCUGUAACUGCCACUCUGUAACUGCCACUCUGUAACUGCCACUCUGCAACGGCUUCCCACACCCCUGGUUGUCCUGGAACUCACUUUGUAGACCAGGCUGGUCCUGAACUCAGAAAUCCGCCUGCCUCUGCCUCCCAAUCCCACUGGGAUUAAAGGUGUGCGCCACCACACCCGGCUUCCACAUCUUUUAAUGUUCUUACCCAUUGUAGUGGCUACUCCUGGUUGUCAACUAUAUCUGGAAUGAACUACCAUCCAGAAUUGGAAGGCUCACCUGUGAUCCAGAUUUUGAGGCUGGGAGAGACAAGUUUCUGACCUGGAUCUUGGCAUGGAGAUCUUGAGGCAGAGUGGCUGUGAAUCCCAGGAGACUAAGGCAAGGAGAUCUCUGAGUUCAAGGUCAUCUGGGACAAAGCAAGUCCUAGAUCCAGGUGUGAUGACACACACCUUUGAUCCGGGCCACACCUUCUGGGAGACCUACAUAAGGACGUUGGCAGGGGGAUUCACUCUUCUACUUGCCUUGUCAACCUUGGACUUCCAUUCACAGCUGACCAUUGUUUGGGAGUUGGACUAGACUGUAAGUCACCAUAACAAAUUCCCUUAGAGCCGACCCAUAAGUUCUGUGACACUAGAGAACUCUGAUUGAUACACCCAUAUCCAACAGGGCUUCCUUCUGCCUGGACUUGCUCUCCCUUGUUCUCCCUCCACAAUACAUACUUUCUCUGUGAGGGCUCGGACAGACAGGUUAUAUUAGUCUCGGAGGACUCCCUGGUACACAGAACUCUCAAAAUAAUCUGUUGCUUAAGAACUACUGCACUCUCUGUCCCUCCCUCCCCACCCCUCACAGCUUGUCCCUCCCUUCUGUAUCAUCCACACUUUGAGAAACCAGAAUCUAGUAGCAGAUGGGAUGUGAAUCAGAAAAGAAGGCAGAAUCAGAAAGAGAGGAAGCUCUGCCAAUUGAUGGGGGGAAAAAAAACCCCAAAGACAAAAAACAACAGCAACAGAAAAAAAAAAAAAGAACCCUGAGACUAAUGUAGAUGUAGACAGGUUAGUCACUGCCUCAGCCACCUCUGCCCCAUCUGCCAUGUCAACAUCAAAGGAAAAAGCUGACUUCGGGCUUAGGAGGAAGGAUAAGAAUUGAAUCCUGCUGGCACUGUGCUUAUGAGUCUCUGUUUCAGCCUCAGCAUCCCGGUGUAGAGAAAGGAGAUGCAGGUCAGGACCACACUGGGAGGCAGAAGCAGGAGGAUCUCUGUGAGCUCCAGGACAGCCAGGGCUACCCAGAGAAAUCCUGUCUCAAAAGACAAAAAGAAAAGUGGUGGUGGGGAUGCCAGCUGGAGCUGAGUGUGUUGGCAUAAAUCCUUAAUCCUAGCAGAUCUCUAUGUUCUAGUCCAGUCUGAUUUACAGGGCGAGCCUUUGGAGUGUAAGCUCCUUGAGCCUGUGACCUCCCCAACAGAAAACAAAAACAAAAAAACUCCCCAUUUUCUUUUCUUCUGUUUUCCUUUGUUCUUUCACUCAUGCCUUCCCUGAAACAGAGUCUCACUAUACAACACUAGCUGGUACUCACAGAGAUCUACCUCUGCCUCCUGAGUGCUAGGAUAAAGAUAUCUACCAUUACAGUGGUGGCCUUUAAUCCCAGCACUUGGGAGGCAGAUUUCUGAGUCCAAGGCUAGCCUGGUCUACAGAGUGAGUUCCGGGACAGCCAAGACUACACAGGUACUGUAGUGGCUAUUCCUGGUUGUCAACUUGACUAUAUUUGGAAUGAACUACAAUCCAGNNNNNNAAUUGGAAGGCUCACCAGUGACCCUUAUCUGGAGGCUUGGAGAUAGAAGUUUCUGAUCUGGAUCUUGGUAUGGAGAUCUUGAGGCAAAGUGGCUAUGGAUUCCAGAAGAUUAAAUCUCCGAGUUCAUCUGGGAUUAAAGGUGUGGUGGAACACACCUUUAAUCUGGGCUACACUUUCUGCUGGAGACAAUAUAAGGACAUUGGAAGAUGGGAGUCUUGCUCUUGCUCCUUCGCCUGCUUGCUGUGUGGGAUUGAGUACCUGCUAGGUCCUUGGACUUCCAUUCACAGCUACUACUGAACCAUUGUUGGGAAUCAGGCUGCAGACUGUAAGUCAUCAAUAAAUUCCUUUAUUAUAUAGAGACUAUCUAUAAGUUCUGUGACUCUAGAGAACCCUGACUAAUACAGGUACACAAAGAAAAACCCUGCCUGAAAAAAACAAAAACAAAGCAAAACAAAAAAAGUGCCACCACACCCAGACAGUAUUAAACAAUGAUUUAUUUAUCUUUAUGUGUGUUUGUCUACACUCAUGUAUACAUACUUCAUUUGUAUUAUGCACCAAGGAAACCAGAGGAGGUGGGAGUGCUGGGUCCUGGGAACUGAAUAAGUGCUCAUAACUGUGGAUCCAUCUCUCCAGCCCCCACAUCCUUUUCUAAAGCUAACAUAAGCUGGGCAAAAUGGCAGUCCAGUACUUCUGAACUGUGUAUCUGUAGAUAUGAGUAGUUAUUUCAAAGACUUUUAAUUAUAUUAAUUUAUUGGAGGGGUACACCAUGGAUGGCAUAUGUAGGUCAGAAGACAAGUGACAGGGUUCAUCCUCUCCUUCCACCAUUUGGGUUCUGAGAAUAACUUCACACACACACACACACACACACACACACACACACACAAGCAAAAAUAAAUCUAAGCACUCAUGAGGCAGAUCUCUGAAUUUAAGGCCAGGCUUGGUCUACAAAGAAAAAAAAGGGCCAGCCACGAUGAAACCCUGUCUC